AGGGUUCGAUCAUGGCUCAGGACGAACGCUGGCGGUGCGCCUUAUGCAUGCAAGUUGAGCGAAGCUUUUUGGUAGUUUACUACUAGAAAUGACUGAGCGGCGAACGGGUGAGUAACGCGUGAGCAAUCUACCUUAGUUACUGGGAUAGCCCGAGGAAACUCGGAUUAAUACCGGAUAUUCUUAUUUUUUCACAUGAAGUUUUAAGGAAAGGUCAGCCGAACUAAGAUGAGCUCGCGUUCUAUCAGCUAGUUGGUGGGGUAAAAGCCUACCAAGGCUACGACGGAUAGCUGGUCUGAGGGGACGAUCAGCCACACUGGGACUGAGACACGGCCCAGACUCCUACGGGAGGCUGCAGCAGGGAAUAUUGUGCAAUGAGCGAAAGCUUGACACAGCGACACCGCGUGUGGGAUGACGGUUCUAGGAUUGUAAACCACUUUCAGGAGGGAAGAAAAUGACGGUACCUCCACAAGAAGACCCGGCCAACUAUGUGCCAGCCGCCGCGGUAAUAC
rnacentral:rRNA from 1 species